UUAUCAAGGAACAUUUGCGUGUUACUGCCAGUAUGGUUAAGCAUUUUAUUUUUAAUUUCAUUGCUAUUCACGUUUUAAUCGGCUGUAUAAAGUUUACAUCGGUUUGUGGUAGAACAAUAAAUGAAUUUAAUAAAAAUGAUUUCAAAAGCAAACACGCAAAUACAGAUGGAAAUUUUCUCAUUAAAUGUGAAAACGAUCGUGGAAUAUGUAUUAAAAGCGGGUCAUGCCCUUGGAAUCGAUUGAUUGACAAAAAUGAUGACUGCUGGAAGACAAAUAAGAACCGCGUGUGCUGUGAAGUAUUGCAUGUGCGGAUUCCCUAUGAUAUGUUCCGUCAGUAUGGAUGAUACAUACCUAAUAUACCUAUUACUUGUUUAAACAUUUUGUUCUUUCCUUGUUAAAAUUAUAUUUCAAACACAAAUGUAUUCGCCUGGUAAAUGAGGCAUUAAAUUAGAUACUAAAACAUUAA